GACGAACGCUGGCGGCGUGCUUAACACAUGCAAGUCACGGGGUCCGCAAGGGAUAACCGGCGAACGGGUGCGUAACACGUGAACAACCUGCCCUCGUGUGGGGGAUAGCCAUGCUAACGCGUGGGUAAUACCGCAUACGUUCCCUUGGAGGCGUCUCUGGGGGAGGAAAGCUCCGGCGCACGGGGAGGGUUCGCGGCCUAUCAGCUAGUUGGCGGGGUAAUGGCCCACCAAGGCGACGACGGGUAGCGGUCUGAGAGGACGGCCAGCCACAUUGGGACUGAGAGACGGCCCAGACUCCUACGGGAGGCAGCAGUGGGGAAUCUUGCGCAAUGGCCGAAAGGCUGACGCAGCGACGCCGCGUGUGGGAUGACGCC
rnacentral:rRNA from 1 species